rnacentral:lncRNA from 1 species
CACUAUGUGCUAGUUCUACUACUAAAUUCUAGGUAAUUAACUGUAAAGCAGACAUGGGUUCUCUCCUUGUAUUUGCCAGUCACUAGAAACUAGUGACAAUACUGUGGAACUAUAAGGCAUGAAAUGAUUGGCUUAUUUACUUGCUUACAGUAGGUAGGCCUUAAUUCUAUUAACUCUUUGUGUCACUUAACAGCUUUAACUGUGGAGAAAAUUGGCAUGAUCCUGUUAAAUGUAAGUGGUUAAAGAAAUGGAUUAAAAAGUGUGAUGAUGACAGUGAAACCUCCAAUUGGAUUGCAGCCAACACAAAGUUUCUCUUCAUAGGAAUGUCCCAAAUGCCAUGUCACAAUUGAGAAGGAUGGUGGUUGUAAUCACAUGGUCUGUCGUAACCAGAAUUGUAAAGCAGAGUUUUGCUGGGUGUGUCUUGGCCCAUGGGAACCACAUGGAUCUGCCUGGUACAACUGUAACCGCUAUAAUGAGGAUGAUGCAAAGGCAGCAAGAGAUGCACAGGAGCGAUCUAGGGCAGCCCUGCAGAGGUACCUGUUCUACUGUAAUCGCUAUA